rnacentral:rRNA from 1 species
GAGUUUGAUCAUGGCUCAGAUUGAACGCUGGCGGCAGGCCUAACACAUGCAAGUCGAGCGGAUGACGGGAGCUUGCUCCUUGAUUCAGCGGCGGACGGGUGAGUAAUGCCUGGGAAUCUGCCUGGUAGUGGGGGACAACGUUUCGAAAGGAACGCUAAUACCGCAUACGUCCUACGGGAGAAAGCAGGGGACCUUCGGGCCUUGCGCUAUCAGAUGAGCCUAGGUCGGAUUAGCUAGUUGGUGGGGUAAUGGCUCACCAAGGCGACGAUCCGUAACUGGUCUGAGAGGAUGAUCAGUCACACUGGAACUGAGACACGGUCCAGACUCCUACGGGAGGCAGCAGUGGGGAAUAUUGGACAAUGGGCGAAAGCCUGAUCCAGCCAUGCCGCGUGUGUGAAGAAGGUCUUCGGAUUGUAAAGCACUUUAAGUUGGGAGGAAGGGCAGUAAGUUAAUACCUUGCUGUUUUGACGUUACCGACAGAAUAAGCACCGGCUAACUCUGUGCCA